rnacentral:rRNA from 1 species
GAUUUAUGUAAAAUUUACUUUUUAUAUUUUGUUAAUUUAGAUUUUUAAUAAAAGUAUAUUUAAAUUUUUUGUUUUUGUAUCUUGAAGAUUAAAUAAUUUUAGUAAUAGUAAAUUAGUACAGUGAUGGAAAAUUUUAAGAUUUAAUUUUAUUGAAUAAGUAGAAUUUAUUUUUUGUACCUUUUGUAUCAGGGUUUAUUAAAAAUUUAAUAUUUAUAUUUAUUAUUCCCGAAUUUAAUAGAGCUAAUUCUUUAUGAUAAGUUGCUGUUGCAAAAUUAUUUUUAAUAAAGUUUUAGUGAUUACAUGUUAGUCGAUAUUAAAUAUAUCUGGUUCUUUAAGAUUUAAAUUUAAUUUAUUUAUUGUUUUUAAAUUAUUUAAAUUUUAUUUAUUUAGUUUAUUUCAAUAAAAAGGAUUUUAGGGAUAAGCUUGAAAUCUUUAUUUAUAACAGUUGUAUUAUUAAUUAUAUAAUUAGUAGAAUUAGAAAUUUUCAUCUGUUUAAAAAAUGUUAUAAUUAAUUUUAUUUAAAUUAAAAUUUAUUUUUGUUUAGUUAUUAUAUUAAAGGGAUUUAUUUAAUUGUUUUUAAUAGUAAUAAUGAUAAAAUUAGUAUUAUUUUUGGUUUAAAUAAAAAUUUUAUUUAGAUAGUAAUAAGGAAUUCAGCAAUAUUACGCUCGCCUGUUUAUCAAAAACAUGUCUUUUUGAUUAUAAUAUAAAGUCUAACCUGCCCACUGAUUUUUGAAGGGCCGCAGUAUAUUGACUGUGCAAAGGUAGCAUAAUCAUUUGCCUUUUAAUUGAAGGCUGGAAUGAAUGGUUGGACGAAGUGUAAUCUGUCUCAUUAUUAAAAUAUUAAAAAUUUAAUUUUUCAGUUAAAAAGCUGAAAUUUUUUUAGAGGACGAGAAGACCCUAUAGAGCUUUAUAAUUAUUUAAUAAAUUUUUUGUAGAUUUAAAUAUUAAUUUAUUAUUUUUAUUAUUUUGUUGGGGUGACAGGAAGAUUUAUUUAACUCUUUUAUAUUUUGAACAUAGAUAAAUGAAUUUUUGAUCCAUUAUUAUUGAUUAUUAGAAUAAGUUACCUUAGGGAUAACAGCGUAAUUUUAUUGGAGAGUUCAUAUCGAUAAUAUAGAUUGCGACCUCGAUGUUGAAUUAAAGAAAUAUUUUAGUGCAGAAGCUAAAUUGUAUAGGUCUGUUCGACCUUUAAAUCUUUACAUGAUUUGAGUUCAGACCGGCGUGAGCCAGGUCGGUUUCUAUCCUUAAUAAUUUCUUUUUUGAUUUAGUACGAAAGGACCAAUCAUUAAAAUAAUAUUUUUAUUCCUGAAUAAAAUUAAUUAUUGCUUUGGCAGAAUAGUGCGUUGAAUUUAGAAUUCAAUAA